rnacentral:rRNA from 1 species
AUACGUAGGUGACAAGCGUUAUCCGGAUUUACUGGGCGUAAAGGGCGUGUAGGCGGUCUUGCAAGUCAGAAGUGAAAUUCCUGAGCUCAACUCGGGCGCUGCUUCUGAAACUGCAGGACUUGAGUGCUGGAGGGGAUAGCGGAAUUCCUAGUGGAGCGGUAAAAUGCGCAGAUAUUAGGAAGAACACCGGUGGCGAAGGCGGCUAUCUGGACAGUAACUGACGCUGAGGGGCGAAAGCGUGGGGAGCAAAAAGGAUUAGAGCCCCUGGUAGUCCACGCCGUAAACGAUGAAUACUAGGUGUAGGGGGUAUCGACUCCCUCUGUGCCGCAGUUAACACAAUAAGUAUUCCGCCUGGGGAGUACGGCCGCAAGGUUGAAACUCAAAUGAAUUGACGGGG